rnacentral:rRNA from 1 species
GACGAACCGAGCGAACGUUAUUCGGAAUCACUGGGCUUAAAGGGUGCGUAGGCGGGCCCGUCAGUCAGGGGUGAAAUCCCACGGCCCAACCGUGGAAGUGCCUCUGAUACUGCGGCCGGAGGGGGAUAGGGGCGUGCGGAACUUCCGGUGGAGCGGUGAAAUGCGUAGAUAUCGGAAGGAACACCGGUGGCGAAGGCGGCCAGCUGGGCCGGUCC